GACAAACGCUGGCGGGGUGCAUGAGACAUGCAAGUCGAACGGGGUUGAACGGGCUUGCUCGAUCAACCUAGUGGCGGACGGCUGAGUAACGCGUAGGUGACCUACCCGAAAGUGGGAAUAACUGCCCGAAAGGUGGCUAAUACCGCAUGUGGUCGGCGAUUCGGUUCGCCGCCCAAAGCCGUAAGGCGCUUCCGGAGGGGCCUGCGUCCGAUUAGCUAGUUGGUGGGGUAAUGGCUCACCAAGGCGACGAUCGGUAGCUGGUCUGAGAGGAUGAUCAGCCAGACUGGGACUGAGAACGGCCCAGACUCCUACGGGAGGCAGCAGUCGGGAAUUUUGCCAAUGGACGAAAGUCUGAGGCAGCAACUCCGCGUGAGGGACGAAGGCCUUCGGAUCGUAAACCUCUUUCUCAGGAAGAUA
rnacentral:rRNA from 1 species